UACAGAGGGUGCGAGCGUUAAUCGGAAUUACGGGGCGUAAAGCGCACGUAGGCGGCUUUGCAAGUCGGGUGUGAAAUCCCCGGGCUCAACCUGGGAACUGCAUCCGAGACUGCUUUGCUCGAGUAUGGGAGAGGGAAGUGGAAUUUCCGGUGUAGCGGUGAAAUGCGUAGAUAUCGGAAGGAACAUCAGUGGCGAAGGCGACUUCCUGGACCAAUACUGACGCUCAGGUGCGAAAGCGUGGGGAGCAAACAGG
rnacentral:rRNA from 1 species